GAUGAACGCUGGCGGCGUGCCUAAUACAUGCAAGUCGAGCGAACAGACGAGGAGCUUGCUCCUCUGACGUUAGCGGCGGACGGGUGAGUAACACGUGGAUAACCUACCUAUAAGACUGGGAUAACUUCGGGAAACCGGAGCUAAUACCGGAUAAUAUAUUGAACCACAUGGUUCAAUAGUGAAAGACGGUUUUGCUGUCACUUAUGGAUGGAUCCGCGCCGCAUUAGCUAGUUGGUAAGGUAACGGCUUACCAAGGCAACGAUGCGUAGCCGACCUGAGAGGGUGAUCGGCCACACUGGAACUGAGACACGGUCCAGACUCCUACGGGAGGCAGCAGUAGGGAAUCUUCCGCAAUGGGCGAAAGCCUGACGGAGCAACGCCGCGUGAGUGAUGAAGGUCUUCGGAUCGUAAAACUCUGCUAUUAGGGAAGAACAAAUGUGUAAGUAACUAUGCACGUCUUGACGGUACCUAAUCAGAAAGCCACGGCUAACUACGUG
rnacentral:rRNA from 1 species